CUCCCAUUAUGAAAAUAAAAGUAAAAAAAAUUAAGUGAAAAUAUGGCUCAAGAUUAAAUAUCAAGAAGAUACAUUUGUCAGUCUGCAUGCUGAAUGACUACAAUUGGUGGCAAACAGGCUUGAGGGAAGUUGAAGGCAGUAGAUGAGGUCAUCUCUAAUUUCUAAUGGAAAGAGGAACUUCAGAACUUCUAAUGGAACUAUAGAACUUCAAACUAUAGAGGUGGACCUAUCUAUAAAAUAACUCUGUAGCUGUGCACCAGGUUGAAGAAUUUGGAGAUUUUGCAGUUGCGGUGUGGAACAUUAAUACCAGGAUUGACCGGGUGCGUCUCAGAAACACGACUGAACAGAACUUCACUUCUAUCCUGUCUUGAUUCAGAUGGAUGAUGAUUAUGCAGCUUUAUAGGAGAGUAACAAUUCAGUUUUUCUCAUCUAUUAGACUAGUAGGACCAACACUCUUCAUAUUAUACAUUAACGACCUCUGUGACCAUAUUAUAAGUAACUGUGUUCUUUUCGCUGAUGAUGUUAAACUACCGCCGAUGAUGGUAGUUAUUUAACACUACCAACAACAAGGCUACCCUUCAAAAAGACCUUGACUUUGUGUCGGAAUGGUCAAAAAUUUGGCAACUCCAAAUCUCAACCAGCAAAUGCCCUGUCUUACAAAUUGGAAAAAAGAAUCAGAACACUAAAUACAAGCUCGAUGGACAUUACCUUAUAGAUGACCCUCACCCCGUCAAAGACCUUGGAGUUUUCAUAUCAAACGAUCUAAGUGCUAAAGCCCACUGCAACUACAUCGCCAAAAAGGUUUUAAGAGUUGUAAACUUAAUCUUGCGUAGCUUCUUCUCCAGAAAGAUUACACUACUAACCAGAGCAUACAAAACAUUUGCUAGAACAAUUCUCGAAUACAGCUCGCCUGUCUGGAACCCACACCUCAUUUCGGACAUUAAUACAAUUGAGCGUGUCCAGAAAUAUUUUACAAGAAGAGUUCUCCACUCCUCUGAUUACAGCAAAAUACCUUAUGCCACCAGACUUGAAAUCCUGGGUUUAGAAAAUUUAGAACUCCGCCACCUUCGGCAUGACCUGAGUUUAACUCAUAGAAUCAUCUGCUACAAUGUCUUUCCUGUUGAAGACUACUUCAGCUUCAAUCGCAACAAUACAUGAGCACACAAUAGAUUUAAACUUAAAGUGAACCGCUCCAAUCUUGAUUGUAGAAAAUACGACUUCAGUAACAGAGUUGUUAAUGCCUGGAAUGCACUACCUGACUCUGUGGUCUCUUCCCAAAAUCCCAAAAUCUUUAACCAAAGACUAUCUACUAUUGGCCUCACCCCAUUCCUAAGAGGUCUUUAAGGGGCGUGCAUAAGAGCACCAGCGUGCCUACCGUUCCUGUCCUAAUGUUCCCUUCGAUUGUAUCCAAUUCGUAUAGUUAUUUCAUGCUUA